UACGGGGGGGGCAAGCGUUGUUCGGAAUUACUGGGCGUAAAGGGCUCGUAGGCGGCCAACUAAGUCAGACGUGAAAUCCCUCGGCUUAACCGGGGAACUGCAUCUGAUACUGGAUGGCUUGAGAUUGGAAGAGGGAUGCGGAAUUCCAGGUGUAGCGGUGAAAUGCGUAGAUAUCUGGAGGAACACCGGUGGCGAAGGCGGCAUCCUGGACCAACACUGACGCUGAGGAGCGAAAGCCAGGGGAGCAAACGGG
rnacentral:rRNA from 1 species